GCAGGAAACGGGGCACAAAGAAGUUAAAGCUCAAGGCAGGAAGUGUGUUGGCGAAACCGGAAGUGGGGCAUGUCGGAGUGUCAGCGCACUGCCUGCCAGGGAGAGAGAGAGUGGGAAUAUGCUGGCCGGCCCGCUAGCCUAUAUUUAGUUCACCUUCACAGGAGCAAAGCCCGGGAAAAUGCAGUUUAUGCUUUUGUUCAGCCGUCAGGGGAAGCUGCGGCUUCAGAAGUGGUAUGUGCCUCUGUCUGACAAAGAGAAGAAGAAGAUCACCAGGGAGCUGGUCCAGACUGUGCUAGCCCGCAAGCCGAAAAUGUGCAGCUUCCUGGAAUGGAGGGAUCUGAAGAUCGUCUACAAAAGGUACGCUAGCCUCUACUUCUGCUGUGCCAUAGAAGACCAGGACAAUGAGCUGAUUACACUGGAAAUAAUCCAUCGUUACGUGGAGCUUUUGGACAAGUAUUUUGGCAGCGUGUGCGAACUCGAUAUCAUCUUUAAUUUUGAAAAAGCCUAUUUUAUUCUGGAUGAAUUUUUGUUGGGAGGCGAAGUCCAGGAGACAUCCAAGAAAAACGUGCUGAAAGCCAUAGAACAGGCUGAUCUUCUGCAGGAGAAUUUCAGAGGAAUUGAACUGGACUGAGCGUGGCUGGAAGUGUCUUUGGAUUGGUGGAACCAUCCAUCUUGCCGCUGGCAACGCACCUGUUCAGUGUUUUGUGUUUCCAUUCGUGCCUUCUGUCACAUUGUCAUGCACUGAGCACUCGUUCUUUAAGUAGCGGUGACUUUCUAACAACACUUGGGAUUUCAGCCCUUUCUAAUGUGAAGCAGAGACGCCACGCAGCGUGCUGGAAGAAAUCGGACUGACAUAAACCUCCUCUCGCCUUACCACUGUCUCUUUGUUCGACAUCAAUGUUCUCACUGCCUUCAUCUCAGUGUUAAACUACUAGUGUAAAAUGCUGUCUGUCAGUAUUACUGUACUGCUAAGCUGCUUUAUUUGGGUUCUCAGAGGGGAAAAUCACUCCAGAACAAUGUUAACAAAAAGGGAAAUGAACAUUUCAGCAAAUCCACGGUGUGUUCCAAGAACAUGUUCUCAUUUGGUUUCAGAUUGAUAAUGUGGAAUCUGAUGGCACAGCGCCCCCUAGUUCUGAUACUGCCAGUGCACCAGAGCUGAAGUUCUUAUUGGCCCACAAGACAGGAAGCUGUCAUUUGAACCCCAUCUUGUAUGGAGAUGGAUUUGUGAGGUGCUGCAGAUCCCUCGGGCACAUACAAAUUAACUGUUGUUUUGGCAACCAAAGAGUAGUCGUUGGCUGUUAAGGAUUUUCUUUUUUGUAUUGAAAUUUCUUUAAAAUAUUAAAAUAUUGUUUCCCAGUU